rnacentral:rRNA from 1 species
UACAGAGGGUGCGAGCGUUAAUCGGAAUUACUGGGCGUAAAGCGCACGUAGUCGGCUUUGCAAGUCGGUUGUGAAAUCCCCGGGCUCAACCUGGGAACUGCAUCCGAGACUGCAUUGCUAGAGUAUGGGAGAGGGAAGCGGAAUUCCUGGUGUAGCGGUGAAAUGCGUAGAUAUCAGGAGGAACACCUGUGGUGUAGACAGCUUACUGGACCAUAACUGACGCUGAGGCACGAAAGCGUGGGUAGCAAACAGG